CAGUAAGCCUGGUACCAGACUCCUGUAUCUACACUUGGCAUUACUCCGAACUGCCACCACAACUGCCAGGCAAGUUCCUGCUCCACCCACUAGAAUCCACAAACACCACAUGGUACCAGGAGUGGGCGAAUAAGAGUAUAUGACAAAGGGGGAUAAAGAAAAUGGAGCAGCUAAGAGCUUCACUGGAGUUGAAUUUAUCUGGCAGUUCAGGCAACUGGAAGAGAGUUCAACAGAGAUUCAGCCUGUACAAGCAAGCAAGUGGCUUCAUUGAAAAAGAAGAUAAGCAGAAGAGGUGCAUCGAUAUCAAAGGACCCAGCCUGGCCCACUGUUGGAAGCUACAAAAGCAGCAGCAGGAAAGAAACCAUCUUGGGCCAGGAUUCAGGCUCUGGAAAUUGGACAACUUUCCUGAAAGUACAGGUUAAAAGAGGGAUAAUUGAACAGAUGGGGAGAGGGGUCAUCUCUUAAAAAGCCAAUCUCUUAACAGGAUCUUCCAUUUAGAGCGAUGUCAUUAACAAAUCUCCUAGCAAUUUACAGUCCCCUCUUCUUUUUAAUCCAUGUCUAACAUAAAAUUCAUUUUGAUGUGACACACCGUUUCUGGUUUUCUGCACUUAUGACCCUUUUCAUCUUCCUGCUCCUCCUCAUGAGCAGCUUCUUCAAACCGGUCACCAUGGAAAAAUCUGCACCAGCGCCAGACCACUUAGGUGUGCCCUGGAUUGGUUGGAAUUCUCAGUGCCUAAAUUUGGCUUGAAUGACCUACUCCCUGCUGCUCCUUCCAAGUUUGAAAGCUCCUGUUGAGUGAGUCCAAGCUCCUUGAACACAGCCACAAUAUACAUAGAUUAAGUGCACACGAGGGUGGAUGGGCCUAAAUCACUAUGUGCCUCUCUACAACUUACAUCCCUGGCUAAAUGUUUCUUUCUCUCUCUCCCUCUCCAUCCUGCUGUGUAAAAACCUUUGGAAAUUCUGGACACAUUUGCACACUGAACCUGAAUCAUCUUAUGUGGG